UACGUAGGGGGCUAGCGUUGUCCGGAUUCACUGGGCGUAAAGGGUGCGCAGGCGGCCGAGUGUGUGAGGCGUGAAAGCCCGGGGCUUAACCCCGGAAUUGCACCUCAAACUACACGGCUAGAGCAUUGGAGAGGGUAGCAGAAUUCAUGGUGUAGCAGUGAAAUGCGUAGAUAUCAUGAGGAAUACCAGAGGCGAAGGCGGCUACCUGGAAAAUUGCUGACGCUCAGGCACGAAAGCGUGGGGAGCAAAAGGG
rnacentral:rRNA from 1 species